GACGAACGCUGGCGGCGUGCUUAACACAUGCAAGUCGAACGGAAAGGCCCUGCUUUUGUGGGGUGCUCGAGUGGCGAACGGGUGAGUAACACGUGAGUAACCUGCCCUUGACUUUGGGAUAACUUCAGGAAACUGGGGCUAAUACCGGAUAGGAGCUCCUGCUGCAUGGUGGGGGUUGGAAAGUUUCGGCGGUUGGGGAUGGACCCGCGGCUUAUCAGCUUGUUGGUGGGGUAGUGGCUUACCAAGGCUUUGACGGGUAGCCGGCCUGAGAGGGUGACCGGCCACAUUGGGACUGAGAUACGGCCCAGACUCCUACGGGGGGCAGCAGUGGGGAAUAUUGCACAAUGGGCGGAAGCCUGAUGCAGCAACGCCGCGUGCGGGAUGACGGCCUUCGGGUUGUAAACCGCUUUCGCCUGUGACGAAGCGUGAGUGACGGUAAUGGGUAAAGAAGCACCGGCUAACUACGUG
rnacentral:rRNA from 1 species